AUGAACCGAGGCGAGUCCUCCGUGGUGAGGGCCCGCGGAGAGAGCCUUCUAGGAAAAGCCGUCGUUACAGUGCUGCUGGUCGGUGGCGGGAGUAUAUGGACCUGCCUUUACAGCAUGACCGCGUCGCUGGCAUUGUGGGCUCCACCCUUUCCUAGGACAAGGAGCCAAAGCUGGAGGCGGAGCCGUGACAAGGACAAUGUCCAGGGGGCAGGGCGAGGCCCCGUCGUGGGGAGCCCAGGAUUCUGUCCCAGAGAGGGUGCAGGAGCCGAUGGAAGGCUCCCGUGGGUGAAGCACCCUCAGGCGCUGUGGGCGGAGUCAGGUCAGGAAGGCCGGGGGAGACUGGGGGGCCAGGACUUGGAAAAGAUGCCUGAGGGAGGGAGGGAGGCGGGACCCCCGGGGGAGUCCACUGAGGGAAGCCAGAGGAGCGGUCACCGGGGCUGGACCCACUACACAGGGCUGCAAGUGUCGGAAGCAGAGCAUAAAGAACCUGGGGGUGUGUCUCAGGGGGAGACGACAGCCAAUGAAAAACAGUCAUGGGCGUGGCGCUGUCAAACUUCGGGGGGCGGGAUCCAAAAGGCCGAGCCGAGGAUGGGGCCCAAGGCGAAGCCAAUGAAUAGCCACCAAAUGGGCGGGGCGUCGUCUAGGGCCGAGGUUGGAGCCAAUGAGGAGCGGCGCCGCGUCCCCGCUCUCCCCAAGCCCCUCUGGGGCGCGCGCCGGGGCCACGGGCAGCCGUUAGGGGCGGGGCCUGCAGCCACCCGCGCGAGGCUCGCGCCCUCCCCUUUGUGUCGCCAUGGCGGCGGCGGUGGCGGCGACGAGGACGACGAACGAGGGGUCGAGAGCGGCUGGGGCCUGAGGGAGCUACGCGACCAUGGUGGUGAGGGGCCCACGAGGCCGUCAGUCUGUCCGUCCGCGUGGCCGUCUGUCCGGGCGCGGUCCCGCCCCGCGCGCCCCGCCCCCAGCCCCGCCCGAGUCCGCGGCCCGCGCCGCCCCUCACCCUCGGUCGCGGUCCCUCUCGUCCUCCGGCCCAGGCCUGGGUCCGAGCCCUCACCGCGACUCCGCCCUCUCAGCUCGCAUCUCCUUCCACACCCAGAAUGGGGGUGA
rnacentral:lncRNA from 1 species